UACGGAGGGAGCUAGCGUUGUUCGGAAUUACUGGGCGUAAAGCGCACGUAGGCGGCUUUGUAAGUUAGAGGUGAAAGCCCGGGGCUCAACUCCGGAACUGCCUUUAAGACUGCAUCGCUUGAAUCCAGGAGAGGUGAGUGGAAUUCCGAGUGUAGAGGUGAAAUUCGUAGAUAUUCGGAAGAACACCAGUGGCGAAGGCGGCUCACUGGACUGGUAUUGACGCUGAGGUGGCGAAAGCGUGGGAG
rnacentral:rRNA from 1 species